GAGAAGAGGUCGGGGAAGAACAGGGUCGAAAAUGAGGAUAUCGAACGAGAGGAACGAGAGCCAGGCAGAGGAUGAUGGAUAAAGGCUGGAGGUAAGGUUCUCAGUCCAGUGUUUGUGGGUGUCCUGGCCUCGUCUCUGCUCAGCUGGCCGGAUGGCUCGAUGGCUGAAGGGGAGACUGCUUGAAAGCCCACAGCUCACAAUCCCCCAACCGCCUCGAGGGAAAAGAGAAUGCAGUGGCAUCUCUCACCCUGCUGAAUCGCACUGUAAACACAGAGGACUAGGAGCCUCAAUACCGCCACCUGCUGCUAGAAGACUGAGUUGCACCACGACGCUGCAGAAUAAAAUUGAGACGCAUUGCUGCCCCCUAGUGGCAGCUGUGGUCACAUUGAAAACCGAAGGCGACCUUUUCGCCUCAGUGAUUCUUUCAUGUCACUCGAGCAGAGCAAGAUUGGACAUGACAACACAGCUGGCGUAUUCGGCUCUCAAUGAUUUACAUGAGCGGUAGCUUUUCGGCUGGUUUUCCCACGCCAUGACGGGAGGAGAAGACAUUUUUUG